UCGGGAAUUUUGGGCAAUGGGCGAAAGCCUGACCCAGCAACGCCGCGUGAAGGAUGAAGUAUUUCGGUGUGUAAACUUCGAAAGAAUAGGAAGAAUAAAUGACGGUACUAUUUAUAAGGUCCGGCUAACUACGUGCCAGCAGCCGCGGUAAUACGUAGGGACCAAGCGUUGUUCGGAUUUACUGGGCGUAAAGGGCGCGUAGGCGGCAAUUCAAGUCAUCUGUGAAAUCUCCGGGCUUAACUCGGAACGGUCAGAUGAUACUGCUUUGCUAGAGUGCAGAAGGGGCAAUCGGAAUUCUUGGUGUAGCGGUGAAAUGCGUAGAUAUCAAGAGGAACACCUGAGGUGAAGACGGGUUGCUGGGCUGACACUGACGCUGAGGCGCGAAAGUUAGGGGAUCAAACAGGAUUAGAUACCCAAGUAGUCCCUGAGCGGGCUGGCAAGGCGCAU
rnacentral:rRNA from 1 species